AGAAAAAAAGAAAGAAAGAAAAAAGAGAAAAAAAAACCUAGAAAAACGUCAAGCACAAGGCUCAUGUAAUUUCAGGCAUUUUUUUUUAUUUUUUUAUUUUUUUAUUUUGUUCUUUUCUGUGUA
rnacentral:ribozyme from 15 species